CAAGAAACGAGGCUACGUGCCCCGCUCUUUUACCUUGCCUACUGCACUAUCUGUUGCUUCCCUGGCGGCGGUUUGCCUGCCGCCAGGGACAUUGUAAAGCCCUGUAUAGGCAUUAAAAAACUGAAAACAAACCGAAUCGUA
rnacentral:misc_RNA from 1 species